UCUUCUUCUCGUUGUUCAACGUUCGAUGAUUAUUCUCUUCCACGACUCAUCCACAACGACUCAGUUUCUUUCUUUCUCUUCAUCCCACGAGGCCAAGGGGCUCACCUUCUCCAUCAUUUUCUAGGGCAUUAACAGCUAAAGAAUUGAUUCGCUAUUCACGGAUAUUGCGGACUCCCUUCCGCUCUUCAACGUUCUUCAACUGUAUUCUUCAUUGUUGUAACAGAUUGGUCCUUUCCUACCAUCUUUGCUUUUAUCUUUGUUUGUGCAUUGACCCCUGAUUUAUUUUUCUUCUGAAAUUUUAUAUACCACUUUCUGAUUUUGUACAUACAUUUGUGCAAAUUUUUAGACAUGAUUUUGUAUAUACAAACUGUAGAAAUGCUCUAUCUAUGCUAGUUGAUGGGUAGAGUCGAAAACAAUGUUAUUUAAUACCAUAAUGUUGCACGCUUGACAUUUGUUUGUUAAUUUUCAUGUUCUUUUGUGAUUGUGUGUAGCUUACUUUGAUUAACUAAACAGAUGAUUUAGAAAUCCUAAUCCAAGAUAGAGGUUGAAAAGUCCUCAAGAAAAGUGGAAAUGGGAAGAAGGGGAUUUUGAAAUGCAGGGAAAUGUGUGCAUUGGAAGAGGGUGAGUGUGUAAAACAGAACAUGGUCUUAGCUUAGUGCCUUUAUGAUUAUGUGACUCAGUCAGGUAAGCUAAGCCUCUUAGAUAAAACUGUAGAUUAAUUCUUUUAUUACUGAACUAGAAUUUUGAAAUCCGAGGGUUUUGGAUGGAGAAUUAAUUACAACUUCACUUAACUUACAUUGUUCAGUUUUCACAUCCUUGAACAACAUUCCAAAGAUUUGAGUUUAUUUUGAAACUGCGUUAUUAUGCUUGUAUUUGGACCUUUUUCAGGGAUACUUACAACUGUGUAUUACACAGAUCAUAACAAUUUUUGGUGGUAGUCAUCUUUAUGCUGAGAUGAACUUAACUUAUGAAUCUACACUGUAGAGUUUUAAGGCUAGUGGAGGAAAUGACUAAUGGCAUAAAAUUAAAAAAAGAUAACAAAAAAAAUGCCUUUUGUUAAUCACCUUUACUAUCUCUCAUCUCCAAAAGCCAAUAUUAAAAGGGUGUAGUCAAAAGGUUAAUGAAAAGUUUAAAGGAGAUUAGCAAGUUGGGUUGGAUUAAAUAACCCCCACAAAGCUAAAGUUAGUGGGCACAUUUUUAUUAGUUCACAGUUCCUACCAGGAAAAUGUAAUUUAGUACUGUCUUAAAUAAGUCUGCAAUCACAUGCCUAUAAGCAUUGGAAAUAGCACAAUGUUAAUCAUACAAACGGGUCAAGCCGUUUUGUUGUUCUCAGCACAUUAUUUCCUAGUGCCAAUUCUUUUUUUGGACUAUCAUCUUACUAGUUAAGAAAUCCAAAACAAAAACAUUUCAUUGAAAAAACAUCACUAAUAUAUCUCUGCAAUGAUUUUCAAUGCAGUUUUUAAUAUGAACUUCAACUAUAAAAUCCUGUUUAAAAUUUCUUAACCAGUAGGAUAUUGAUUAGCAGUGCCAAAAUAAUUUGCAACCAUGUAGAUUAAACUAAUUUGUCGUGGAUAUAAUUUUUUUUUUGUAGGAAACGUAAGAGUAUUAGGACUGGGCGUUUUAGGAGUCUUGUCUUGUUGCUUUGCCCGUGAUGUUAGUUUGCUCCCCUUCUAAGUGCGACUUGUACUAAAUUGUCCCAAGCCAUACACUAGUACUCGACUUAGAUUGGUAGUUUAACUAGGUGUUUGGCGGUUUGAAUUCAAUACAAAGAAUGCACAACUUACUCUCGAAAUACGGUUACACUUGGAAGUUAUUCUGUUGUGGACACAAGUGUGAAUCAAAUCCAUCUUACAUUAUAUAAUCUGUUGGAUGACUUUCUUAUAGAGUCUAUCAUUAUAUUGGAUGUUUUAUCACAUUCAUAAUUGUAUAAAGUUUUAUAUUCAGUUGAAACUGUAUUUUGGCUUACCUUGAUAACUCUAAACUUCUUUUAUGAUUUUAGCAGUGAUUUUGUGACCUUUAAACUUAUUUGGUUCAUAUUUAAUAACAGGAUUUGGAUCUAUUAUUGAGCAUCUUUUGUCUUUCCCUUUUUUUGCCUUAAAUAUGGAUCACUUUAAGAGUAACCCUUUAACUUUGGUUGAUGAUCUCGCAUCUGAAACUCCUGGUCCAUCUGAAAGUGCUACCAUAAAUAAGAAAGAAGUUUCAAAUGUUUGGAAUUUUUUCACAAAAAUAGGAAAAGAUGAGGAUGGCAUUGAAAAGGCUGCAUGUAAGUAUUGUGGCAAUAACUACAAAGUUGAAAAACACCCUAUUAAUAAAAAUAAUUAUGGAACUUCACAUUUAAGUCGGCAUGUCAAUGUGUGUAGAAGUAUUGCAAACUUAGAAGUGGAUCUGAAUCUUUAGCAAGAAAGAAGGACACGAAAAAUCAAUCAAAAGAUUCAUCGUAAGUUACUUUCAAAAGCCAUAAUUAAACAUAGUCUCCCUUAUAAUUUUGUUGAAUAUGAAGGAAUCAUGGAGUAGAUAAAAUACAUUAAUCCUAAUGUUGACAUGAAAUGUAGGAACACUAAUGUAUCAAAUGUGGAAAAGGAAUACAUUGAACAAAAGGAUAAAGUUAAGCAAACCAUGUCUAGGAUUCCUAAUAGAAUUUGUUUAACCUCUGAUGUUUGGACUGCAGUUACUUCUGAGGGAUAUAUUUGCCUAACUGCACACUUUGUUGAUGAAAACUGGAAAUUGACAAGUAAGAUUCUUAACUUCUGUCGAAUGAAACCACCACAUACAGGUGUUGAACUAGAAAGUGUUGUGUUUGAUUGCCUAAAGCAAUAGGGUAUUGAUAAGAAAAUUUUCUCAAUUACCCUGGACAAUGCUUCUGCCAAUAAUAAUUUGCAAGACAUUCUAAAAAGACAUCUUUGUGUUCAUAAAAAUUUACUAUGUGAUGGUGAGUUUUUCCAUGUACGAUGUUGUGCUCAUACUCUUAAUUUGAUAGUUCAAGAUGGUUUAAAGGUGAUUGACAAAUCACUCCAUAAUAUUAGAGAGAGUAUUAAGUAUGUUAAAUCAUCAGAUGGAAGAACUCUCAAAUUUAAAGAAUGUGUUAGUGAUGUUGGCAUAAAUAUGAGCAUGGGUUAUGAGAUUACAAACAUGAUGUUUGGUUCAUCUUAUCCCGCUUCAAACUUGUAUUUUAUGCAAAUUUGAAAAAUUUAGCUUAUCAUUGAAGAGAAUUUGCUGAAUGAAGAUGUCAUCUUAAAGGAUAUGGCUUGGAAUAUGAAAGAAAAGUUUCAAAAGUAUUGAAAAGAGUAUAAUAUUAGGUUAGUUUUUGGAGCUAUUCUUGAUCCACGACUAAAGGUUGAUUUUAUAACAUAUUGUUAUAAAAAAUUGGAUCCUUUAACCUAUGCAGAGAAAACAAAGAAAGUGUUAGAGAACUUCAAGAGGUUAUUUAAAGAAUAUGUAAAGAACUUUUCUACCUCUAGUGUUUCUCUUUCCCAAUCAUCCACUGAAUCCACCUUGAUGUCUCAGUCCAAUACUGAAGGGAAAAAUUUAAGAGAUCAAGAAUUAUUUCGGAUUUUAAAAUGUAUAAGAAUGAAUCAAAAUCUAUCAUUGGAAAGAACGAGAUAGAUGUUUAUUUAGAUGAACCAAGAAUAGAUGAUGAUGAUGAAGACAAUGAAGAUUUUGAUGUGCUCAAAUAUUGGAAGACUAAUGAGAAAAAAUUUGCUAUAUUGUCUAUAAUGGCUCGAGAUGUGUUUAGUAUUCCCAUUACUACAGUGGCACCAGAGUCAGCUUUUAGCAAAGGUGGGCAUGUACUUUCGAAAUAUAGAAGCUCCAUUCUUCUUGAACAUGUGCAAAUGUUGAUUUGUACUCAAAAUUGGCUAUAUGGAUUUUCUGAAAAUCCUAACUAUGAAAUUGUUGAAGAUAUUUUUGGUCAUGAAGGAAUUGAUGAGUCUAAACUUUUAGAAGAUGUUGAAAGUCUUCAACAUUGUGGGCAAUGAAAGUUAUCACACGCGAUGACACCGGAACUUUAAUUUACUUUCUAAUUAUUAAAUUUUUUAUUUAUUGUUUAUAAUUUUUGUAGAAUGCUAGUCCUUUUAAAGAAUAAAGUUUAGUUUUGAAGUAGAAAGUAGACAUUUCAGCUUUGAUUUUAAAUGCAUUGUGUAUUUCAGCAUGGAGCAUUUAAUUGUAAAUAAAUUUGUCUUGUUAUAACAGUUUUUGGUGCAGUUUUUAGCUACUCCAGAUUGCUUUAAUUGAACUUAUCAUAAAAGCAAGCAGAAGUAUCACUUUGUUGUAGCACCUCUAAUACAAAUUGAAAGUAGAAGUAUCACUUGCUUUA